rnacentral:snoRNA from 1 species
AAGACUGUAUUUUCAGGAAUCAUUUCUAUAGUUAUUUAUUUGGGAAUGUGUUUUGAAAGUGUUUGUCUCCCAACCCAUGAUGAUGAGCUGUAAUGCUUCUUUCUGGGAAUGAUUCAAGGGCAGAUCUGUGACUUUAGUCACAAUCUGUCAUUGAUGAGUGUUCAUAUUGCUUCUGGCAGUACAGAAGAAAGGAGUAUGAUCUGAGUGGU